rnacentral:lncRNA from 1 species
AGACUUUGAAAUCACAUACACAAGACAAUAUUCAUUAAGAAAGUGAAAUUAAAUGAUUAAUAAACUAUUUAUUCGAACCCUUGCUAUUUUCUAUUCUAAUAAAAGUCUUGGCUGUGUAACAUCUGUAAUAGAGUAGCUGGAUGCAAAUAAAGUCAUGCCUUUUAUUUUUUCCCCUGUUUGCUAUUUCACAUUCCAGUCACUGAAGCGUUGUGGGCAAAGACACAGAAGGUAACUGACACAAUGCGGUUUAAGUCAAGGUGAUCAUUAGGGGUCCAAGCACAUUGGUUUGUGUAGAUGAUGCAGUUACACAAUGAACGUGUCUCUUUUCAAGUAAAUUAUGAGUCCUUAUGUGAGUACUAUUAUAUGCACAACAUGAAAAUAGAUAACUAAUAUAGUACAUUCCUGUCACUGAAGCGUUGUGGCCUAAGACACAGAAGGUAACUGAAACAAUGUGGUUUAAGUCAAGGUGAUUAUUAGGGGUCCAAGCACAUUGGUUUGUGUAGAUGAUGCAGUUACACAAUGAACGUGUCUCUUUUCAAGUAAAUUAUGAGUCCUUAUGUGAGUACUAUUAUAUGCACAACAUGAAAAUAGAUAACUAAUAUAGUGUCCCUUCUACACUUUUUCAGUAAUGUGUGAUAACUUGAGAAAUAUGUUGUCAAUACAAUUAAAAUAACAAAGUAAUGGUAUUUAGGAGAUGAUAGCUUUUGCAUAAUUACUAUAUUGGGCUUUAUUAAAGUUUAUGAAAAAAGAAUGAAUGUUUCUGCAUUUUUUAUUUAUGCACAUAAAUGAAACAUUUUCAAGUCUUUGAACAGAUCUUGAAGUAUUUGCUAUCCUGUGGUGCCAUCGAGUGGACAACAUUAGCAUUGUGGCCUUCAUUUUUGAACAACAUUAUGAAAGGGGCCAAUAUUUUUUGAUUAUAAAUAUUUAAUGAUUAGUUUACUGAUCAUAUACCCACAUUAAAAUCUAAUUUACUGAUUCUGUAUCUUAUUUCAUGCUUAAUCAUGAGUUUAAUCUUCAACUUACAUUUUUAAGCAGUGUUGAAUGAUUACUAUGUGAGUUGCUAAAAAAUUAUUUGUUUUGUUUGUUUCAUUUAUUUAUUUUUUAUUUUUUUAGGAUUUACAUUUAAAAAAAUUAGCCUACUUCAAACAUUUUAAGCAGCUUGAACAAAACCUGUUAAUAUUUAUUAUAGACCACUGUAACUGUCUAUAAUCUAAAAAACAAAUUUAUUAUGAAAAUAAAAGUGUGUACACCAGUUAAAUUGGACGAUAAAGAAAUUGCUAACAAUAGUUUAAUAGUGCAUGUUUUAAGUUUAUAGGAGUUUGGAUGCAGAAAUGGACAAAUCAAAUGUAAAAUAAUGUCAUCGAUUUAGUUAAAUAUAGAUUAAUUCUUGUUAGAGCAAAAUAAUAAUAAUAAUAAUAAUAAUAAUAAUAAUAAUAAUAAUAAUAAUAAUAAUAAUAAAUACAUGAAUACAUACACACAUAACAAAAAAAAGAGCAGCCAAGACGAAUGUAGUGUGCAUUCGCGGUAAUAUUUUAUUUUAAAAAGCUCUUAAAACUAUAAAAAUGCUUUAACUGUGAGCUCGUUGUAUGACUGCACGCGCUGAUGCAGCGGUGAUUUCUCUCUGGUCUUUCUCACUGUUC